ensembl:misc_RNA Y_RNA Y RNA
GGCUGGUCCGAGUGCAGUGGUGUUUACAACUAAUUGAUCACAACCAGUUACAGAUUUCUUUGUUCCUUCCCCCCCCCCACUGCUUUGUUUGACUAGCCUAAA